rnacentral:rRNA from 2 species
UACUCCUACGGGAGGCAGCAGUGGGGAAUUUUGGACAAUGGGCGCAAGCCUGAUCCAGCCAUGCCGCGUGCGGGAAGAAGGCCUUCGGGUUGUAAACCGCUUUUGUCAGGGAAGAAAAGGUUCUGGCUAAUACCUGGGACUCAUGACGGUACCUGAAGAAUAAGCACCGGCUAACUACGUGCCAGCAGCCGCGGUAAUACGUAGGGUGCAAGCGUUAAUCGGAAUUACUGGGCGUAAAGCGUGCGCAGGCGGUUAUGCAAGACAGAGGUGAAAUCCCCGGGCUCAACCUGGGAACUGCCUUUGUGACUGCAUGGCUAGAGUACGGUAGAGGGGGAUGGAAUUCCGCGUGUAGCAGUGAAAUGCGUAGAUAUGCGGAGGAACACCGAUGGCGAAGGCAAUCCCCUGGACCUGUACUGACGCUCAUGCACGAAAGCGUGGGGAGCAAACAGGAUU